rfam:Anas platyrhynchos breed Pekin duck contig99685, whole genome shotgun sequence.
UUAACAUCAGCAUCAGCGUGUGCUAUGUUAA